rnacentral:lncRNA from 1 species
AUAAAUUUGGGGUAAGGGGAAUGCUAUUUAACCCAGUACACUUCGUGUCAAGAUUUUACUAGCCUUACUAUUUUAUUCAUCACAUUAAUGACACAGACACUAUACUGAGUACCAAUAAUAGCAACCCUGUGAUUUGUCCAAGUGCCGGGAGUGGAGGCCAUCCUGACAACAGCUCUAUGAUUUUCUAUGCCAAUGACACAGGAGCCCAACAGUUUGAAAAGUGGUGGGAUAAGUCCAGGACAGUCCCCUUUUAUCUUGUAGGGCUCCUCCUCCCACUGCUCAAUUUCAAGUCUCCUUCAUUUUUUUCAAAAUUUAAUAUCCUAGGCACAGUGUCUGUCCUUUAUUUGAUUUUCCUUGUCACCUUUAAGGCUGUUCGCUUGGGAUUUCAUUUGGAAUUUCAUUGGUUUAUACCAACAGAAUUUUUUGUAC